rnacentral:rRNA from 1 species
GACGAAGGGGGCUAGCGUUGUUCGGAAUUACUGGGCGUAAAGCGCACGUAGGCGGCUUUCUAAGUCGGGGGUGAAAUCCUGGAGCUCAACUCCAGAACUGCCUUCGAUACUGGGAAGCUCGAGUCCGGGAGAGGUGAGUGGAACUGCGAGUGUAGAGGUGAAAUUCGUAGAUAUUCGCAAGAACACCAGUGGCGAAGGCGGCUCACUGGCCCGGUACUGACGCUGAGGUGCGAAAGCGUGGGGAGCAAACAGG